rnacentral:rRNA from 1 species
AACGAACGUUAGCGGCGCGCUUAACACAUGCAAGUCGAACGAGAAAGGGCUUCGGCCCCGGUAAAGUGGCGCACGGGUGAGUAACACGUGGGUAACCUGCCCUCGAGCGGGGGAUAACAUUCCGAAAGGAGUGCUAAUACCGCAUUAGACCACGAUCUCGAAAGAGGACGAGGUAAAAGCUGGCCUCUAUACAUAAGCUAGCACUUGAGGAUGGGCCCGCGGCGCAUCAGGUAGUUGGUGAGGUAAUGGCUCACCAAGCCUAAGACGCGUAGCUGGUCUGAGAGGAUGAUCAGCCACACUGGAACUGAGACACGGUCCAGACUCCUACGGGAGGCAGCAGUGGGGAAUCUUGCGCAAUGGGCGAAAGCCUGACGCAGCGACGCCGCGGGAGUGACGAAGGCCUUCGGUCGUAAGACUCUGUGGGCGGAGACGAAUAAGUAGCAGCCUAAUAACGCUGCAUGAUGACGGUAUCGCCUUAGCAAGCACCGG